GUCCUCUGUUUCCUUUUAAUUACAAUCGGCCAUUCACCCUAGCCCGAUCUUUUUCCACGCUUCUGUCCCCCAAUACCCUAGAUCUGCAGAUAGAGAACAAAUCCAGAGAGAUAGAGAAGAACGAUCCAGAGAGAGAGAUCCGGUGUGAUAGAAGCAUACUAGAAAGAGAGAGAGAGAGAGAGAGAGAGAGAGAUAGCAAAAGAGAGCCAGAGAGGAAGAAGACCUCCAUCCGUCAGCACGGGCCGCCGCGAUUCGAAGAAAGUCCCUCGCCCUCAAUCGUCAGAAAGGACAGAAGAAAAAGUUGAGAAGAAAGAAGACAAACCCAGAAGUGGUUAAAUAAACUGCAAGGGACUUUCAGGAUUGUACAUAUUGAAGGGGGAGAGAUUUGGACUGAAAACAAAGAAAAGAGGAAGUUCAUAGAAAAAUAUACUGAUAGGAAGCUCCUACAACUGGUGGAUUAUAAAAAUCGGCCAACUCCUCGCUGUUUUACAUUUAUGUGAGAACCUCACUUAAGAAUACUGGUCUGGUUUCUAAGGUCUCGAUUACCGCCUUUUGCCUACUUGAGACUCUGGCUGAAGUCAUUACUGAAUAGUUCUUCUUCCUCUUCUCUGGGAGUUUGAAGCACGCAGGAUCUCCCAUAAAGUUGAGAAGUUUGUAAAAGCACAUUCUCAUCAUUCAAGAAUAGAAGACCAACUUAAGA